rnacentral:rRNA from 1 species
UACGGGGGGGGCAAGCGUUGUUCGGAAUUACUGGGCGUAAAGGGCGCGUAGGCGGGGCUCUAAGUCGGAUGUGAAAACUCUGGGCUCAACCCAGAGCCUGCAUCCGAAACUGGAGUGCUAGAGUUCUGGAGGGGGUAGCGGAAUUCCUGGUGUAGCGGUGAAAUGCGUAGAUAUUGGGAGGAACACCGGUGGCGAAGGCGGCUACCUGGACCGGUACUGACGCUGAGGCGCGAAAGCCAGGGGAGCAAACAGG